CGAACGUGGGUAACCUGCCCAUCAGAGGGGGAUAACAUUCGGAAACGGAUGCUAAAACCGCAUAGGUUCUUAAGUCGCAUGACUCGAGAAGGAAAAGAGGCUUCGGCUUCUGCUGAUGGAUGGACCCGCGGUGCAUUAGCUAGUUGGUGAGGUAACGGCUCACCAAGGCCGUGAUGCAUAGCCGACCUGAGAGGGUGAUCGGCCACAUUGGGACUGAGACACGGCCCAA
rnacentral:rRNA from 1 species